CUGGUUGAUCCUGCCAGACCCGACUGCUAUCGGAUUGGGACUAAGCCAUGCGAGUCAACUCCGCAAGGGGUGGCGCACGGCUCAGUAACACGUAGUCAACCUACCCUGGGGACGGGGAUAACCUCGGGAAACUGAGGCUAAACCCCGAUGGGCCAUGGCUCCUGGAAUGGGCUAUGGCUGAAAUCUACAUGGCCCCAGGAUGGGACUGCGGCCGAUCAGGUUGUUGGUGGGGUAAUGGCCCACCAAGCCUAUAACCGGUGCGGGCUCUGAGAGGAGGAGCCCGGAGAUGGGCACUGAGACAAGGGCCCAGGUCCUAUGGGGCGCAGCAGGCGCGAAACCUCCGCAAUGGGCGAAAGCCCGACGGGUUCAGUCCGAGUGGUUCCCGCUGAGGGAACCUUUUGCCAGCUGUAAACAGGCUGGCGAAUAAGGGGUGGGCAAGUUUGGUGUCAGCCGCCGCGGUAAUACCAGCACCCCGAGUGGUCGGGACGAUUAUUGGGCCUAAAGCAUCCGUAGCCGGCCCAGUAAGUCCUCCGUUAAAUCCAACGGCUCAACCGUUGGGCUGCGGGGGAUACUGCUGGGCUAGGGGACGGGAGAGGCGAGGGGUAUUCCCGGGGUAGGGGUAAAAUCCACUGAUCCCGGGAGGACCACCAGUGGCGAAGGCGCCUCGCUAGAACGUGCCCGACGGUGAGGGAUGAAAGCUGGGGGAGCGAACCGGAUUAGAUACCCGGGUAGUCCCAGCCGUAAACGAUGUAGGCUCGGUGUUGGGCUGCCUCAGUGGCAGCCCAGUGCCGCAGGGAAGCCGUUAAGCCUACCGCCUGGGGAGUACGGCCGCAAGGCUGAAACUUAAAGGAAUUGGCGGGGGAGCACCAC
rnacentral:rRNA from 1 species